rnacentral:rRNA from 1 species
CCUACGGGUGGCAGCAGUGAGGAAUAUUGGUCAAUGGGCGCGAGCCUGAACCAGCCAAGUCGCGUGAGGGAAGACGGUCCUAUGGAUUGUAAACCUCUUUUGUCGGGGAGCAAAAGACGCCACGCGUGGCGUUCCGAGAGUACCCGAAGAAAAAGCAUCGGCUAACUCCGUGCCAGCAGCCGCGGUAAUACGGAGGAUGCGAGCGUUAUCCGGAUUUAUUGGGUUUAAAGGGUGCGCAGGCGGAAGAUCAAGUCAGCGGUAAAAUUGAGAGGGCCAACCUCUUCGAGCCGUUGAAACUGGUUUUCUUGAGGGAGGGAGAAGGUAUGGGAAUGCGGGGGG